ACCAUAUAACCAUAUAACAAUUACAGCACGGAAACAGGCCAUCUCGGCCCUACAAGUCCAUGCCGAACAAAUUUUGUUCCCCUUAGUCCCACCUGCCUGCACUCGUACCAUAACCCUCCAUUCCCUUCUCAUCCAUAUGCCUAUCCAAUUUAUUUUUAAAUGAUACCAAUGAACCUGCCUCCACCACUUCCACUGGGAGCUCAUUCCACACCGCCACCACUCUCUGCGUAAAGAAGUUCCCCCUCAUAUUACCCCUAAACUUCUGUCCCUUAAUUCUGAAGUCAUGUCCUCUUGUUUGAAUCUUCCCUAUUCUCAAAGGGAAAAGCUUGUCCACAUGUUCCGACAAAAUUCCGCAUGCAGGGCCUCCGUUGUAUGUUUUUCCCAUUUACUAUAACUAUGGUGACUGAGCGGACCCCAUACUUCACUACCAUAAAGUGCAAUAGGCUGGAUUACACUGUCAAAUAUUUUAAGCCAGAUUUUAAUUGGAAUUUGGAUGUUGUAGAAUCUUCUUUUUAUUGCAGACAGAGCUCUCCGAGCUUUCUCUUUUCGUGCAUUCACUGCCAUAUUGAAGUUCCCUGAUGCUGAAACAGUUAGACCAAAAUGUCUGACAUGAAGUCCUGUUUUGGCACCAAACUGAGGCACGUGAUGGUUGGAUUACCCUUUUCAGAUUUGCCUAUUCUGCUUGGUAAUGGGAAUCUCGCAGUUCUAUGCUACGUUUAAAUCCAUCAUUUAUCCCAUGUGAAGAGGACGGAGCACAGUUAAUCCAAUUUGCUUUUUUGCCUUUUAAAUGUGUUUUAAAAAAAAUAAAUAAUAAUCGACCUCUAAAACUUAAGUAUUUGCUUUAAUGUGAUUGAACAGAUGGUAGACUUGACAAUUUUAAUGUGCAGAGGGAUUAUUGCACUUCUAUUGAUGUACAAAAGGAUAAUCUACCUUAGCCCACCACCUGACUGUGGAAAUUAAAUGGUCAAUCUACACUUAAAA